UGGGGAAUUUUGGACAAUGGGCGAAAGCCUGAUCCAGCAAUGCCGCGUGUGUGAAGAAGGCCUUCGGGUUGUAAAGCACUUUUGUCCGGAAAGAAAUCCUUGGCUCUAAUGCAGUCGGGGGAUGACGGUACCGGAAGAAUAAGCACCGGCUAACUACGUGCCAGCAGCCGCGGUAGUACGUAGGGUGCAAGCGUUAAUCGGAAUUACUGGGCGUAAAGCGUGCGCAGGCGGUUUGCUAAGACCGAUGUGAAAUCCCCGGGCUCAACCUGGGAACUGCAUUGGUGACUGGCAGGCUAGAGUAUGGCAGAGGGGGGUAGAAUUCCACGUGUAGCAGUGAAAUGCGUAGAGAUGUGGAGGAAUACCGAUGGCGAAGGCAGCCCCCUGGGCCAAUACUGACGCUCAUGCACGAAAGCGUGGGGAGCAAACAGGAUUAGAUACCCUGGUAGUCCACGCCCUAAACGAUGUCAACUAGUUGUUGGGGAUUCAUUUCCUUAGUAACGUAGCUAACGCGUGAAGUUGACCGCCUGGGGAGUACGGUCGCAAGAUUAAAACUCAAAGGAAUUGACGGGGUCAUAGCUGUUUCCU
rnacentral:rRNA from 1 species